rnacentral:lncRNA from 14 species
CCAGAGUGUUUCAUAUCUGUGUAAAGGUAUAUUAGAAGCUUUGCCUCUGGCCUUUUAGAAAUUGUACCAAUGCAGCUGUGUUUGUUUGUGCAUCUCUAAUUUCAGGACUUCAGCCAGCCUCUCAAAGAAGCUUCCUGUUGUUAGCCUGUAUUUUACUGUCAUCUGCAGAGUUUUGUGGAAUAUCUGAUAUUAGCGACUGGGCUGUGUGAGGCAACAAAUGCUGUGGACUAUUCAUCUGCUCUGUCAUGGAAAUUUCUAUCUCAAAUUAUUCAGAGGAAUAUGUGACAUCCUUGUGCCAUGGAGUUUUCCCCAUCAAGACAUCUGCCCUUCAUAGACUUUGGAAAAUACAGAUGUGAAAAUAAAUUCAUCCACAUCUGUAAUUGUAGAAAAUAAGUGAUUGAAGUGAAGAGCACCUCUUGCCAACCCUAACUUAGUUAAUACAGUUGAGGACUGUGCCUUUCCUUAGCCAUGACCCAGCAGAUGAACUUCUUGUUGCAGAGGGAGGAUGUAAGAGGAUGCCUGCCCAGGGCAGGGCAUGGUGCGCCUGGAUCCGCUCAGGAGGUGAACACGUCCUUCUGCUGCACCCGCACAGAUUCAUUGGCUUCAUCUGGGUCUGAGAGAUACAACAAAGUGAGGAUACUGAUUGCACUUCACUCUGAAGAAAUGACCAAAGAAGAAAGAGAAGUAACAAAGAAGAAGAGAAAUAACCCAAAGAAAAAACCCUCCCUUACCAAGCUGAAUGAGGAUACAAUGAUGAAGCAAUUAAUGAGGUAGAAGAAACCAUGAAAGGACCAUCAGAGAAAACAAAAAGUGCAAAACACAGCUGUGUGUUUCAAAAAUGACUGUGUCAGAGAAGAUGGGAACUGCUCUGAGGGUUGACUGAACUGUGAUAUUUGGAAAAUGUGACAUACCACUCUGAUGCCUAAGGUUGAAAACUAUAUUGGAGAGGGCUUAUGUCGGAUGAACAGAAUUCCAAGUAAUUAAUUUAAAUGUUCAGUUUACUGACCUUGGGGAUGAAAGGCAAGAUGGAGUGGGCAGAGAUGAUGGAGAGUCAAAGUCAGGAGUGUGAAGGAAAGAACAGCCUGGUUUUCUUUCCUAUGUGCUUUUGACAUUUAUGUUACUGUUUCUAGCAGAGGUCAACAGAAGGAAGACUGGUUGUCACUACCUUUGCCUAACUGUGGUUUGUCGUGUGACUAUAAAGUAUCACACACAGGCAUGCAUUAGUUUAUUUCUUCAUUUAGAUCUUGUCCCCCCAUGGGCUACAGUUUGUCUUCUCCUCAGAGUUUGCCACUGACAUGACAGUGGUCUACAGAGGAGGAAGCUUUAGAAACACAGAAAUUAGAGAUGGCAUGUUUCUCUGGAAAAGAUCAACUGUGCUUGGUAGGCCAAGGGAUAAAUGCUGGCACUGGGCUUAUUUGAAAUACGACGAGAAGAAGUCUCCUGGAGCAACUGCUCCACCAGGCAGUACAUUUUACAGCCAAGCCAUUGUAACAUUCAGCUUUUUGCCUCCUUUCAGCCUAGUUUCUCCUUCCUCAUAAUAAUAAUGCACUCAGCUCUCCAAACCUAAAGUUUUUCUCCCACAGUGCCUACUUUUUGUAGCUGUGUCCUACAUGACAUACAUAAUAGUAAUGCACUCAGCUCUCCAAACCUAAAGUUUUUCUCCCACAGUGCCUACUUUUUGUAGCUGUGUCCUACAUGUCAUAUGUAGCUGUAUUUACCUCUUCCAACUCACAUGACAGCAUCUCUAAAUCAGUCCUCAUCAAUUCUACUUAAA